GAGCAUGAUUGCACGAGCCGUGUGCGGUGAAAGCCGCACGCACGGUUCUAAGGGGGGGAAAGUCCGAGAGGACCUACCUAUCCCAAUUGGGCCUAUAAGUUAAAUUAAUUAGCAAAAUAAUAGGAUUAUUAAAGAAAAAACGAAUAUAUAACAAGUAAAAGUUAAAUAAUUUAGACCCGAAUGCCUAAGAUCUUACUAUGAUAAGGUGUAACGACCGAAUAGUUUAAUGUUGCAAAAUUAUCUAAAUAAUUGUGGUAAGAAGUGAAAGACAAAUCUAGUAGGCCAUUAGCUGGUUUUCUUCGAAAUAUAUUUUAGUAUAGCAAUUUAAAAUUAAAUAAAAUUUAAAACGUAUAGCUCUUAUUUUAAAAAUAAAGGAAUUUAUUUUGUUUGGGGGUUGGAAACGAUUUACCAUAAAAAAUUAAUCUCAGAAGUUUUAAAUGUAAUGAAAAUUACGAUUAUAUAAAUUAGUCAGUCUAUCUGCGAUAAGGUAUAUAGACAAAAGGGAAACAGCCCAACAUAGUAUAAAAAGUUCCUAAAAAAAGUUAACAGUAAUAGAUAUAAUAAUAUAUAUAAAACAUUAAGUAGGUAGUUUUGACAGUAAUCAUCCUUUAAAGAACUUGUAACAAAGCACUUAAUAAAAAAGGAUUAAUUAUAUUUUAUAUAAAAAAUUAAUUGGAACUAAAACUUUUUACUGUAUACUAUUUAUAAUAUUAAUAAAAUAAUACCCUGGGGGCCGAAAGGGCCCAGGGGAUUCGGGGGGCCGCGCUUUGCGCGGGUCCGGAAUAAAAAAAGAUAAGAUAAUAAUAUUAUAAGUUAGAAGAACAAUUAAAGAAAUCUAAAGAUUAUUAAUAAUAAAUAAUUAAGAAAUAGAAAUUUAAUUAGAGAAUGUAGGCAUGAGUAGCGUAAAAAAAAGAUAAACUUUUUCACUUAAAACAUAAGGUUUUACUAUAAAAUCGGUCCCUAAGUUAAAUUUAGAAAUAAAAUAAUGAUGGGUAAAUUAUAAAAUACUACUUUAAGAAUUUCAAAAAGGAAAUGUAUAAUUAAAGUACAGGAAAAGAAUAAUAAAAACCGUAAUGAAAACCGACACAGGUAAGAAUAGUAGAGAAUAUGAAAGUGUAAGAGUGAAUAACAUUUAAUGAACUCGGCAAAAAUAGAACCUUAUUAUUAGAGAGGGUAAUUUAUAAGAAAUUAUAAAAUAAAAAAAAAUUUGCACGACUGUUUACUAAAAACACAGCAUUCUGCAAAAAGAAAAAUUGUAGUAUAGGAUGUGAAUUCUGCUCAAUUAUUUUUAAUAAAUAAUAAUAUUAAUAGUAUUAUUAAUAAAGAAAGUAAAAUAGCAGCCUUAAUCUGAGGGUUCAAAGGUAGCGAAAUCCCUUGUCCGCUAAAUACGGUCCUGCAUGAAUGGAGUAACGAUGCAAAAACUGUAUCAAAUGUUAACUCUGCGAAAUUACAAUUAGCCGUUAAGAUGCGGUUUUCUUAUUGAAGGACGGAAAGACCCUAUGCAGCUUUACUAUAAUCAA
rnacentral:ncRNA from 1 species